GUGCAAGCGUUACUCGGAAUUACUGGGCGUAAAGCGUGCGUAGGUGGUUUUUUAAGUCCGUUGUGAAAGCCCUGGGCUCAACCUGGGAAUGGCAGUGGAUACUGGAAAGCUAGAGUGCGGUAGAGGGUAGUGGAAUUCCCGGUGUAGCAGUGAAAUGCGUAGAGAUCGGGAGGAACACCAGUGGCGAAGGCGGCUACCUGGACCAGCACUGACACUGAGGCACGAAAGCGUGGGGAGCAAACAGG
rnacentral:rRNA from 1 species